AUGAGGAUGGUCCCCCUGCGGCUGAGCCUACACUGCAAGAUGGGACUUUCCAAAUUGUUGGAACGAUCUCUAACAACGAGGGGAGAAUCUGCAUUAGAAUGUUAUUUACGUUUCACUCAGAUACUGAGUUUUGUGGCUCGAAAGAUAUCCAUCUUGAUAUCAUCAGUCAUGACCAGGGCGAUGAGCAAGCCAGCCGAUCCUAAUGAUCCAGAGAUUCCUCUGAUAGUGGACAUCAUCCUAACUUCAAGGAGCACACCAACACAGAGAAUGUUGCUCAAACUGGGCAAAACUCUCAUUAUAAACUGGGUGGUUUGAGCCCUGAAUGCUGAUUGGCUGAAA
rnacentral:lncRNA from 1 species